rnacentral:lncRNA from 1 species
UUGUUCUUUAUUGGUUUUUAAGAUGACUGAUUUUUUUGAAUUUGAAAAUAACAUAAUGGUUAAGACUUCAACAUGUUUUUUCUGUAGAUGUAUCAAUAAAAUAAUAUUUCAAGUACUCAUAAAACACAUGAUCGGUAAACAAGACAUCGUUGAGCAUUUCCUUUAUUUAAAUUUACUUUUUUAGGCUAAUAAGUUGUUUUCUAUUUCAAUUUUAUUUUAUUCUUUUGUUAUAAUUAUAUUAUGUAUGAUAUCAAUUUAAUUAAGUGAUUGAUUGUAUGAAGAAAGUUGAACUUAUAUAUAUGUCUUGAGAGUUAUUUUGUAUAUUGAAGUAUUGAACUAUAUUAUUCAUACUGAAAUAAAUUUUAAAACUUGGAUUUCAUCACAAAUAAAUAUAAUAUGUAAAACAUUUGAAAAUUUAUACUAAAAAAAUAUAAACUCUCUUCUUAACUCUAAUGGCAUUAAUGAUAUGUGUUUAGGAAUACUAAAUUAAUAAUUUGAAGGGAACAAAUAAAUAAACAAGUGUUGACACCAUAUUGAACAUUGUUAUGAAUGUAUUUUAUUUUAUUUUUUGCAAAAAAAUGAUAAUACAAAAGAGAAGAAUAAGAGGCUUUAUUGGUUAGCACAACUUUAAUUGUAAUCCUGGUUUUGGUAUUUAUAUUUUGGGUAUUUUCUAUAUGAAUCUGAUUUUAACACAAAACUCAAACUACGUUUUCUAAUUUCUUUAACUAUUAUGCACAAAGGUCAUGAUCUUAACAUUGAACCUAAUUUUAUUUCAAAUAUCAUAUGACAGAUAUGAAAUUAACAUUCAUUUAUUAUUAUUAUUAUUAUUUUUUCCCACAAGACAAUUUUAUUCUGGAAUCGAUUAUUUAUGAACAAUACGAAUGUAUUCCUAUGGAUAGAAGAGAAAAAAAAUGUACAUAUAAUUUUAUUUAUUUUUUAAAUGAAAAUAAAUAAAGAAACAUAUUUGGAAAAAGAUGAACAAGUAAACUCUACCAAAACAUAAUGGAAUGACUCAACGCUCAUGUUAAAAUCAAAGAAUUGUUUUAAAAAAUAAUGAAUGUAAAAUUCAGAAGUCUAAUUUAAAAAGUUAAGAAAGAAUUUGAUAAUUAAUAUAUAAUUGCUUCAUGUAAGGCAAAAUAAUUUGAUGUCUGCCUUGCUUAUAACUUAUCACUUAAUUUAUCAACAAUGUUUUUUAGAAAGUAUUUAACAGCUUUAAUUUAAUACUACAAUCAUUUUUG